GUUACUUGCGGUCGCACAUGCGACAUUCGCCUCUUCCUUUGUUACCUUUUCUUCCCCUCAGUGGCUGUCUGCCUUCACGGCUGACCCUAAUAUCCCUGCCAAUCGAAGAACAGAUUUGUUGCCUUCUUUUUAGCUGCGAAUGAUUUGAUGGUGGAAGUUUGGUAUUUUAUCCAGUUCUGAUGAUUAGUUGUGCAAAUGGGAGUGAAAGGGACUUGAUUCCGUAGGAGAGGGAAAGGAGACAUCAAGGUG